CUUCGUGUCCAACCUCCCACAAGAAAUGAUCCUUUUAUAGGGAACCCGAUAUGUCUCAAUCUGCACUUCACUCAGAGCCGCUGGAUAUAGGGCACUGGUCCCUGCUCAAAAAUAACUCCGCCGAAACGCCUUUCCACCUAAAAAAUCCCCACGAAUGACUCCCAGGGAAGAAAUACAGCUCCCAUAAUUAAGGGAGGCAGCGGUCAGAGGGGAAUGCAGCCCGGAGGUAAAAAAAAAAAAAAAAAAAAAAAAAAAAAGGAAAAAAGAGAGAAAGAAAAAGAAAGAAAGAAAAAGGGCAGAGAGGGAGAGUUUUUAUUCCUGUGCCCGCUGCACUGGGCCGUCAUUAGCAGCAGGUUUAUCAGGACGAGCCUCUGAGGCAGCUCCGGGUGCAUGGGGAGAAGGCGUCAGCUCAUGACGAGCAGAGAAGAGGAGAGAUUAAGGAGCAGAGCCCAACUCCGAGAAAAGAGCUGGCCAGAAAACCGCUGCUCAUACGGACAUGAGGAUUUCCAGCUCUCCGCUGAGCCCCCCUUUUAUUUGCUUUGGUGGGGUGGUUUGUUUUCUCUGCCACCAAGGCUGGUCAAGGGAAAAGCGAGCUUGGGGGUUAGCAAGGAAAAGUCGUGUACAAUUUCUGGGAAAGAAAAAAAAAUAAUAAUAAAAAUAAAACAAACAAAAAAUCCCACACAA